ensembl:lncRNA
UGGGAAUCUAUGAUCUUAACACAGACUCGGGCCUCUGGUUUGGACUCUGCAAUGUUUUGUUUAUCAUCAACCCACUUUGGUUAUUAGAGAAUAUUGAUUUGAGUUCCCUGAGCUAAAUGGUACAGUUAUUCCCCUAUCCUUGAAAAUGUUCUCCACAUUGGAAAUGACUCAUGAUUCUUCGGAAAUCUACACAAACACUGAUUUAUUCAAGUGCAAUCCACAAGAUUCCAAUUCCUCUACAUCCUUUCUUCGAUCGAAGGUUUUGCUUCCUGGUCAGACACGGUGACGGUGGCUUACCCGGGGGUCUCUGCACACCAGCAGCCUCAGAGGUGGAAGAGAUUGUCACAGUUCAGUGGAAGAUCCUUCAUAAGCUGAAAGUGCCAGUUUGAGAAAGUGACAUUUGAGAAGCCAUGCUGUGUUUCCAUGGAAACAGCUUGCAGUUUUAAGAAAAACUCAGGUUUUAAUCUCAAAUGCAAGAA